CGCAGAAAACCGCCAGUUUCGUCAGGCUCAUAACCUGAAGGUCGCAGGUUCAAAUCCUGCCCCCGCAACCA
rnacentral:tRNA from 1 species